rnacentral:rRNA from 1 species
GAUGAACGCUGGCGGCGUGCCUAAUACAUGCAAGUCGAGCGAACGGACGAGAAGCUUGCUUCUCUGAUGUUAGCGGCGGACGGGUGAGUAACACGUGGAUAACCUACCUAUAAGACUGGGAUAACUUCGGGAAACCGGAGCUAAUACCGGAUAAUAUCUUGAACCGCAUGGUUCAAAAGUGAAAGACGGUCUUGCUGUCACUUAUAGAUGGAUCCGCGCUGCAUUAGCUAGUUGGUAAGGUAACGGCUUACCAAGGCAACGAUGCAUAGCCGACCUGAGAGGGUGAUCGGCCACACUGGAACUGAGACACGGUCCAGACUCCUACGGGAGGCAGCAGUAGGGAAUCUUCCGCAAAGGGCGAAAGCCUGACGGAGCAACGCCGCGUGAGUGAUGAAGGUCUUCGGAUCGUAAAACUCUGUUAUUAGGGAAGAACAUAUGUGUAAGUAACUGUGCACAUCUUGACGGUACCGAAUCAGAAAGCCACGGCUAACUACGUG